rnacentral:rRNA from 1 species
GACGAACGCUGGCGGCGUGCUUAACACAUGCAAGUCGAACGGUGACGGAGAGCUUGCUCUCCUGAUCAGUGGCGAACGGGUGAGUAACACGUGGGCAACCUGCCCAGACUUCGGGAUAACGCUUCGAAAGAGGUGCUAAUACCGGAUACGAGCUCCUUGGGCAUCCUUGGAGUUGGAAAAGUUUUUCGGUCUGGGAUGGGCCCGCGGCCUAUCAGCUAGUUGGUGAGGUAACGGCUCACCAAGGCGACGACGGGUAGCCGGCCUGAGAGGGCGACCGGCCACACUGGGACUGAGACACGGCCCAGACUCCUACGGGAGGCAGCAGUGGGGAAUAUUGCGCAAUGGGCGAAAGCCUGACGCAGCAACGCCGCGUGAGGGAUGACGGCC